rnacentral:rRNA from 1 species
AUUGAACGCUGGCGGCAGGCUUAACACAUGCAAGUCGAGCGGUAACAGAGAGUAGCUUGCUACUUUGCUGACGAGCGGCGGACGGGUGAGUAAUGCUUGGGAAUAUGCCUUUACGUGGGGGACAACAGUUGGAAACGACUGCUAAUACCGCAUAAUGUCUUCGGACCAAAGGAGGGGAUCUUCGGACCUUUCGCGUAUUGAUUAGCCCAAGUGGGAUUAGCUAGUUGGUGAGGUAAUGGCUCACCAAGGCGACGAUCCCUAGCUGGUUUGAGAGGAUGAUCAGCCACACUGGGGACUGAGACACGGCCCAGACUCCUACGGGAGGCAGCAGUGGGGAAUAUUGCACAAUGGGCGAAAGCCUGAUGCAGCCAUGCCGCGUGUGUGAAGAAGGCCUUCGGGUUGUAAAGCACUUUCAGUUGUGAGGAAGAGGUAAAGGUUAAUACUC